rnacentral:rRNA from 1 species
UACAGAGGUCUCAAGCGUUGUUCGGAUUCAUUGGGCGUAAAGGGUGCGCAGGUGGUCGGGUAAGUCUGACGUGAAAUCCCGCAGCUUAACUGCGGAAUGGCAUUGGAUACUAUUCGGCUAGAGGGUUGGAGGGGGGACUGGAAUUCUCGGUGUAGCAGUGAAAUGCGUAGAUAUCUGCAGGAACACCCGUGGCGAAAGCGGCGCGCUGGACCACUACUGACGCUGAGGAACGAAAGCUAGGGGAGCAAACAGG